UACAGAGGUCUCAAGCGUUGUUCGGAUUCAUUGGGCGUAAAGGGUGUGUAGGUGGCGCUGUAAGUCGGGUGUGAAAUCUCGGGGCUUAACUCCGAAACUGCAUUCGAUACUGCGGUGCUUGAGGACUGGAGAGGAGACUGGAAUUCAUGGUGUAGCAGUGAAAUGCGUAGAGAUCAUGAGGAAGACCAGUGGCGAAGGCGGGUCUCUGGACAGUUCCUGACACUGAGGCACGAAGGCCAGGGGAGCAAACGGG
rnacentral:rRNA from 1 species